UACGUAGGGCGCAAGCGUUGUUCGGAAUUACUGGGCGUAAAGCGCGCGUAGGCGGACCUGCAAGUCGGGGGUGAAAGCCCGAGGCUCAACCUCGGAACUGCCUUCGAUACUGCGGGUCUCGAGUCCGGGAGAGGUGAGUGGAAUUCCUAGUGUAGAGGUGAAAUUCGUAGAUAUUAGGAAGAACACCAGUGGCGAAGGCGGCUCACUGGCCCGGUACUGACGCUGAGGCGCGAAAGCGUGGGGAGCAAACAGG
rnacentral:rRNA from 1 species